rnacentral:rRNA from 1 species
UACGUAGGGCGCAAGCGUUAUCCGGAAUUAUUGGGCGUAAAGAGCUCGUAGGCGGUUUGUCGCGUCUGCCGUGAAAGUCCGGGGCUCAACUCCGGAUCUGCGGUGGGUACGGGCAGACUAGAGUGAUGUAGGGGAGACUGGAAUUCCUGGUGUAGCGGUGAAAUGCGCAGAUAUCAGGAGGAACACCGAUUGCGAAGGCAGCUCGCUGGGACGUAACUGACGCUGAGGAGCGAAAGCGUGGGGAGCGAACAGG